AGAACAAUCUCACACACACACACACACACACACACACACACACUGACAGCUCACUGGGACUGCUGAUUUUAGUGCCUGGCUUUUUCAGCUUAGGGUCAGGAGCCCAUCAGGAGGCCCAGAGAGGGACACAGUCUCCGUGUGCAGCCAUUCAAACCAAAAUGACUGUAAUCACGUGUUCGCUUUACUUGAUAACAAAACGAAAUCUAACGUUUCGGACAAGAGCCAACAUGAAUCUACGAGCAGCACGAUCCUGGAUGAGGGCAUCUUUGGAGCCUUGGAUGUCGUCAUCUGUGGAGCGAGAGGAAGAAGGCCGAGGAGCUACAGCCUUCUUCAGGAUGGGUUUGGGAAGGCUGCGAGAUAGAAAGAAGAGCGGAAGGAAAAGAUAAAUAAAGUGCAUGGAGUGAAACUUUCAA